UACGAAGGGGGCUAGCGUUGUUCGGAAUUACUGGGCGUAAAGGGCGCGUAGGCGGUGUGUCAAGUCAGGCGUGAAAGCCCCGGGCUCAACCUGGAACCGCGCUUGAGACUGGCACGCUCGAGUUCGGGAGAGGAUGGUGGAAUUCCCAGUGUAGAGGUGAAAUUCGUAGAUAUUGGGAAGAACACCGAUGGCGAAGGCAGCCAUCUGGACCGACACUGACGCUGAGGCGCGAAAGCGUGGGGAGCAAACAGG
rnacentral:rRNA from 1 species